CACUUCAUCACCCAUUCCAGGUCAGCCAGCAUUUAUAAAGGAGCUCCUGCUUUCAUAUGGUAAACACAAGAUCUUUAAAGCAGUAAGAUUUAACAGGAGCCCAGCAUGAGAAUAGUUGUACUUCUAACUGCAUUAGCAGCAGUAACUCGGUCCCAGAAUGACUGCUCUAAGGGAGCAUGUUACCCCCCCAGCAGAGACCUCCUACUGGGCAGAUCGGACCUGUUUCGAGCAUCCUCCACCUGCGGCCUCGCCGGCUCAGAGGUCUACUGCAGCCCAU